AGUGGCGCAGGGGGUGCGUAACGCGAUAUGCUACCUACCUUAAUCUGGGGGAUAGCCCGAAGAAAUUCGGAUUAACACCGCACAAAAACACAGGAUAGCAUUAUCCGAUGUUCAAAUAUUUAUAGGAUUGAGAUGGGCAUGCGUGUCAUUAGCUAGUUGGCGGGGUAACGGCCCACCAAGGCGACCANUACGAGGGGAUCUGAAAGGAUGACCCCCCACACUGGUACUGAAACACGGACCAGACUCCUACGGGAGGCAGCAGUAAGGAAUAUUGGUCNAUGGAGGCAACUCUUAACCAGCCAUGCCGCGUGCAGGAAGACUGCCCUAUGGGUUGUAAACUGCUUUUAUCUGGGAAUAAACCUUUCUACGUGUAGGACGCUGAAUGUACCAUAAGAAUAAGGAUCGGCUAACUCCGUGCCAGCAGCCGCGGUAAUACGGAGGAUCCAAGCGUUAUCCGGAUUUAUUGUUUUUAAAGGGUGCGUAAGCGGCCUGUUAACUCAGAGGUGAAAGACGGUACCUCAACUAUCGCAUNGCCUUUGAUACUGAUGGGCUUGAAUGAACUAAAGGUAGGCGGAAUGAGACUUCUAGCGGUGAAAUGCAUAUAUAUGUCUCACAACACCGAUNGCGAAGGCAGCUUACUAUGGUUUUAUUGACACUGAGGCNCGAAAGCGUGGGGAUCAAACAGGAUUAGAUACCCUGGUAGUCCACGCCCUAAACGAUGAACACUCGCUGUUGGCGAUACACACUCUGCGGCUAAGCGAAAGCGUUAAGUGUUCCACCUGGAGAGUACGGUCGCAAGAUUGAAACUCAUAGGAAUUGACUGAGGUCCGCACAANCNGAAGAACAUGUGGUUUAAUUCGAUGAUACGCG
rnacentral:rRNA from 1 species